CUGGUACUUACCCUUCCUUUAAAAUUACAGUAACAAAAGAUGGAUGGAUGCAUGGAUGGAUGUAUGGAAUUGGUUUGCUUAACUGAUGCAUAUUAAACUAAUACCCUAGGGCUUCACUCCAAAGACACUGCCAGCUAGUAGCUGCAAUACACCACCACAGCAUAAAGCAGUCAACCCAUUCAGAAAGAUUUUCAACCGUUUCAUGCGCCUGAUACGAAAAAAGCGAUCCAGAGUUGAGCCUUUACGGGAGGAUGCCGAGCAGAGUGGACUUGAGAUCCCCCAGCCUGUGGAGUCACUCCGUGUUCUAGAGGAUGUCAACAGACCAAUGAAUGAAAAAAUUGACCUGGUCCAGUUGGUCAAAGUGGUUGAGGGACCUGUAGGCAGGCUGUACUCAGCAAGUGCAGUGACGCCCCACACCUCAGUGCCUCCCCCAGCUCCCUGUACACUCCUGUUUCAAUAAAGUUCUUUUGUGUUUCAAGCA